CUUGCCAGCAUACUCAGCUCAAAGCCCUAGUGCAGCAGACACCCUCCAGCAAGCUUUCACAGGGGUGCAGCAGUACACAGCGAUCUACCCAGCGGCCACCCUGACCCCCAUUGGACAGCCCAUCCCCCAGCCCCCCCCUCUCAUCCAGCAGCAGAGAGAAGG